rnacentral:rRNA from 1 species
UACAGAGGUCCCAAGCGUUGUUCGGAUUCAUUGGACGUAAAGGGUGCGUAGGCGGCGCGGUAAGUCGGGUGUGAAAUCUCGGGGCUUAACUCCGAAACUGCAUUCGAUACUGCCGUGCUUGAGGACUGGAGAGGAGACUGGAAUUUACGGUGUAGCGGUGAAAUGCGUAGAUAUCGUAAGGAAGACCAGUGGCGAAGGCGGGUCUCUGGACAGUUCCUGACGCUGAGGCACGAAGGCCAGGGGAGCAAACGGG